rnacentral:rRNA from 1 species
CUGCUGCCUCCCGUAGGAGUCUGGGCCGUGUCUCAGUCCCAAUGUGGCCGUUCAACCUCUCAGUCCGGCUACUGAUCGUCGCUUUGGUGGGCCGUUACCCCGCCAACUGGCUAAUCAGACGCGAGCUCAUCUUUGGACGAUAAAUCUUUGGCAGCAAAAUCGUGCGACCCCGCUGCAUCAUGCGGUAUUAGCAGUCGUUUCCGGCUGUUAUCCCCCACCCAAAGGCAGAUUGCUCACGCGUUACU